UCCCUGGUGGUCUAGUGGUUAAGAAUCCACCUUCCAAUCCAAAGGACUCAGGUUUGAUCCCUGACCAGGGAA
rnacentral:tRNA from 1 species